GUGUCAGCAGCCGCGGUAAUACGAGGGGGGCAAAUGUUGUUCGGAAUCACUGGGCGUAAAGGGAGCGUAGGCGGGUUUUUAAGUAAGGUGUUUAAUCCCGGGGCCCAACCCCGGACCGGCACCUUAAACUGGGAAUCUUGAAUAGUGGAGAGGUCGGUGGAAUUGGGGGUGUAGCGGUGGAAUGCGUAGAGAUCCCCAAGAACACCAGUUGCGAAGGCGGCCGACUGGACACAUAUUGACGCUGAGGCUCGAAAGCAUGGGGAGCAAACAGGAUUAGAAACCCUCGUAGUCC
rnacentral:rRNA from 1 species